UGGAGAACUUGUGCCGAGGGUGUCUCAUGGGUUUUCACAGGAGAUGGAGAAAGAAGAGCAAUGAUAUCAAGGGUAUUUCUGGAAGAAGAGGUCCUUACAGGUGAGGUGGGGUUCAGUCCCUGUAGAGAGUUCAGAGGAUGCUAAGACUUUUCCAGUAUCAUGUCACAUGGGCAGACAGAGCUUGUGAGACUGCUUCACCCUCAAGCAUCUUGGGGGUGGGUGGCAGUGAGGUGAGCUUCAUAUAUUUGGUCUCAGUAGCAGAGGCUUGAGUUAUGAUGUCUACACAGGGAGGGGAGAUGGCUGCAGUUGUUUUCUAGGGCUGCCGUAAUGCAGCCCCACAUGCUCGGUAGCACAAAUGACAGAAAUUCAUUUUCUUACAGUUCCAGAGCCUGGAAGUUCCGUGGCAGGGUUGGCUUCUCCCUGGCUUGUAGAUGCCAUCCUUUCCCUGUGCCCUCACAUGGUCUUCCCUCUGCCACGACCAUGUCCUAAUCUCUCUCUCUUUUAAAGACACCACCGGUCGGGAUCAGACUCAGGCCCAUCCUAACACCAUCACCUGAACCGCUUCUUUGAAGGUCACAUUCUAAGGUACUAGAAUGUACCUCACCUCAACAGGUGAGUUUUCAACAUUUUUGAGGAAUUUUGAGGAAUUUUCAACAUUCUGAGGAAUAAUUUGCCAAUAGCAAAUUAUUUUGGGUUGAGCCCUCUCUCUGACAGAAUGGUUCUUGUUGUCCAAAAGCAUAAAAAAUCUGGUUGAAAAGUAGAAAUGGAUAUAAUAGUCCAGAUGCAUUACAAAGUUGCCUGUUUCUUCCUUUCUGAGGUCAUCCAUCUGUGGCGAAAUGAGACCAAGAGGCAGAGGUGCAUAAUUAAGAGGAAAACUGAGAGUUUUCACAACUGGACACUGUGUUUGACAUUCAACCCACCACCAACAGCAGCUUCAUGCAUCUACCACCAACUCUGGCUUCCUGGAUAUGCGACCUGUACAGUGGGUCACUGAGACUGCAGAUCAGGAGCAUUACAGGACGCCUGAUGUCACUCUUCCUCGGUGAGACUCCCCCCUUGCAGCUCUUCCUUGUCUUUGCUUCUUGCAAACCCCAGCAAGCAACUCAGCCC
rnacentral:lncRNA from 12 species